CAGUCCCGGAGACCCAAACGCGGCGUACACGCGGGAAGCAGGAGAGGAACCCGAGUUAGAGCUUAGAAUUUGGAAUCACCCAGCACAGUCUUGGCUGGCGGGAGGAGACAGAAGGGGAGAACAGAGACCCCGGUUUCGAAGGGAUGCCCGAUCGGAUGGACUGCUUCUGCUUCAGGUUGUAAGCUCCUUCCAACCUACAAUACUGACUCUGUUGCAAAGGACAUAGAGGGAUCUGGGGCAUUCAG